rfam:Ixodes scapularis strain Wikel colony gcontig_1108379032820, whole genome shotgun sequence.
GCCGGGAUGGUCUCAUCGGAUAAGGCGUCGCCCCGGACAGGCGAAGGUUGCGGGUUCAAUCCCCGCUCCUGGCU